AUCUAACUCUGGGCCUUUUGGCUAAGAUCAAACAUAGUAUCUGUUCUUAUCAGUUUAAUUUCUUCUGAUGGACACUUGCGACACCUGCUCUGAAGAUGAAUUCUCCUGCUGCUAUUUUUGAAAAAAAUCGAUGCUGCUUUGAAGAUGUAUUCCACUGCUGCUACUUUGGAAGAAAAUCCU
rnacentral:snRNA from 1 species